rnacentral:rRNA from 1 species
AGAACGAACGCUGGCGGCAGGCUUAACACAUGCAAGUCGAACGCUCGUAGCAAUACGGGAGUGGCAGACGGGUGAGUAACGCGUGGGAACAUACCCUCCGGUUCGGAAUAGCUCAGGGAAACUUGGAUUAAAUACCGGAUACGGCCGAGAGGCGAAAGAUUUAUCGCCGGAGGAUUGGCCCGCGUUCGAUUAGCUAGUUGGUGAGGUAACGGCUCACCAAGGCGAUGAUCGAUAGCUGGUCUGAGAGGAUGAUCAGCCACAUUGGGACUGAGACACGGCCCAAACUCCUACGGGAGGCAGCAGUGGGGAAUAUUGGACAAUGGGCGCAAGCCUGAUCCAGCCAUGCCGCGUGAGUGAUGACGGCCUUAGGGUUGUAAAGCUCCUUCGCUCGGGACGAUAAUGACGGUACUGAGAUAAGAAGCCCGGCUAACUUCGUGCCAGCAGCCGC